GACGAACGCUGGCGGCGUGCUUAACACAUGCAAGUCGAACGGAAAGGCCCUGCUUUUGUGGGGUGCUCGAGUGGCGAACGGGUGAGUAACACGGGAGUAACCUGCCCUGGACUUUGGGAUAACUUCAGGAAACUGGGGCUAAUACCGGAUAGGAGCUCCUGCUGCAUGGUGGGGGUGGGAAAGUUUAGGCGGUUGGGGAUGGACUCGCGGCUUAUCAGCUUGUUGGUGGGGUAGUGGCUUACCAAGGCUUUGACGGGUAGCCGGCCUGAGAGGGUGACCGGCCACAUUGGGACUGAGAUACGGCCCAGACUCCUACGGGAGGCAGCAGUGGGGAAUAUUGAACAAUGGGCGGAAGCCUGAUGCAGCAACGCCGCGUGCGGGAUGACGGCCUUCGGGUUGUAAACCGCUUUCGCCUGUGACGAAGCGUGAGUGACGGUAAUGGGUAAAGAAGCACCGGCUAACUACGUG
rnacentral:rRNA from 1 species